rnacentral:rRNA from 1 species
AUUGAACGCUGGCGGCAGGCUUAACACAUGCAAGUCGAGCGGGGAUAGGGUGCUUGCACCUUAGCUUAGCGGCGGACGGGUGAGUAAUGCUUAGGAAUCUGCCUAUUAGUGGGGGACAACAUUCCGAAAGGGAUGCUAAUACCGCAUACGCCCUACGGGGGAAAGCAGGGGAUCACUUGUGACCUUGCGCUAAUAGAUGAGCCUAAGUCUGAUUAGCUAGUUGGUGGGGUAAAGGCCUACCAAGGCGACGAUCUGUAGCGGGUCUGAGAGGAUGAUCCGCCACACUGGGACUGAGACACGGCCCAGACUCCUACGGGAGGCAGCAGUGGGGAAUAUUGGACAAUGGGGGGAACCCUGAUCCAGCCAUGCCGCGUGUGUGAAGAAGGCCUUUUGGUUGUAAAGCACUUUAAGCGAGGAGGAGGCGCUCUAGGAUGAUACCCUAGAUGCGUGGACGUUACUCACAGAAUAAGCACCGGCUAACUCUGUGCCAGCCGCCGCCGUAAAAC